CUGGUGUCUUCAGUUCGUCUUUGUCUUUCCUCUGCUACCGAUGUACGCGGACAUACGUUGGAUCGCUACGCAGUUCUUGACACAAGGAAGCUGGAAGGCGAAUAGCUUGAAACAGAAAUCCUUGCUCCUCAGACACAAAAGAAAUCGCGCAAUUAAACGUCGUUGAUUGGUUUAGGCGAUAUCUGCAGUGUAAAAAGCAAUUCAUUGUGUAACGUGGAUAAUCGGUGACUGUGAAUGUGUUCGAUAUUAAUUUGAGAUCUGUGAGAUAAGAGCAUUCCCAAAUUGAUUGAGUCCGUGUCGCGUUAUCGAUUAUCGCUUCCCUGCGGUUUGUCGUCGCAGUCGUGAACCGUCGAAGAGAUUGCUGACGAAAACAUGACAUAAAUUAAAAAUUCAACCAAUACACUAAGGAGCGAAUGGAACGCAGAAAGGCCAUGGAAAACAGUGCUUAUGAUAUAAGAGUUAGGAAAGCAUCAGCCAAAGGCGAGAUGAAAUGAAGCUGCUAAAGAUGAAGUGGUCCGAUUCGUCCACUCCACAAAGCUUCGUGGCGGAGUAUGUGUAUCAAUAUUUCAGUUUUGCGUUUACCUUACCACAUGCUCUCUACACAAUAACCCCUUCACGCAACGUCCGCUGGGGGUUAUUCUAUUUAUUCACCAUCGUAUGUGAUGCGCGAAAAGAAUGGCUUUGAAAACGUUGUAAAUAAUAUCGAAACGUACUAGCCAAGCUCGAGGAAACAAGUGCUGCCAAAAUCAAAAUUCAACCACCGAAAAAUUGCCAAUUUUUCUGUAAUUGAGGUGUUGUGCAAUCGCGUUGGCGCAUCAAUUCGGCAACAUGAGCGAGAAAACAACAACCAAUGGCCUCGGGUGCAGCAACGGUGAUAACAGCAGUGCCAAACAGCAACAGCCAUCACAACCACCACAGCAAGAU